UGUCCUGUGGCUCAGUUGGUUAAUGCGCCGGUCUAGCGAAUACGGAGUCGUGGGUUCGAAUCCCACCCGGACGC
rnacentral:tRNA from 1 species